rnacentral:rRNA from 1 species
AUACAGAGGGUGCAAGCGUUAAUCGGAAUUACUGGGCGUAAAGCGCGCGUAGGCGGUUGUGUAAGUUGGAGGUGAAAUCCCCGGGCUUAACCUGGGCACUGCCUUCAAAACUGCACGGCUAGAGUAUGGGAGAGGAAGGUAGAAUUCCAGGUGUAGCGGUGAAAUGCGUAGAGAUCUGGAGGAAUACCGAUGGCGAAGGCAGCCUUCUGGCCUAAUACUGACGCUGAGGUGCGAAAGCAUGGGGAGC